rnacentral:rRNA from 1 species
GACGAACGCUGGCGGCGUGCUUAACACAUGCAAGUCGAACGGAAAGGCCUUUUCGGAGGUACUCGAGUGGCGAACGGGUGAGUGACACGUGGGUGAUCUGCCCUGCACUCUGGGAUAAGCCUGGGAAACUGGGUCUAAUACCGGAUAGGACCGCACUUUAGUGUGUGUGGUGGAAAGUUUUUUCGGUGUAGGAUGAGCCCGCGGCCUAUCAGCUUGUUGGUGGGGUAAUGGCCUACCAAGGCGGCGACGGGUAGCCGGACUGAGAGGUUGGUCGGCCACAUUGGGACUGAGAUACGGCCCAGACUCCUACGGGAGGCAGCAGUGGGGAAUAUUGCACAAUGGGCGCAAGCCUGAUGCAGCGACGCCGCGUGGGGGAUGACGGCCUUCGGGUUGUAAACUCCUUUCGCCAGGGACGAAGCGUUUUGUGACGGUACCUGGAGAAGAAGCACCGGCUAACUACGUG